rnacentral:rRNA from 1 species
GAUAGCUGGUUCUCUCCGAAAUCGCUUGAGGGCGAGUCUUAUGGAAGUACCCGGCGGAGGUAGAGCACUGAAUGGCUUAGAGUCCCCACCAGGAUAUCAAAACCAAUCAAACUCCGAAUACCGUCGGUCUCAGUAUCAUAGGAAUCAGGCAGUGGGCGAUAAGGUUCAUUGCCGAGAGGAUAACAGUCCAGACCAUCAGCUAAGGUGCCUAAAUGUGAUUAAGUGGAAAGGAUGUGACUUUGCUUAGACAGUGAGGAUGUUGGCUUAGAGGCAGCCAUCAUUUAAACAGUGCGUAAUAGCUGACUCAUCGAGCGAGGUCGCGCCGAAAAUGAUUGGCGAUCAAAUCACAUACCGAAGCUAUGGAUUGAAGAGGUCUUCGGAUCUUUUCAGUGGUAGGAGAGCGUAAUCAGUGCUGCGAAGCCGGACGGAAAUGGACGGUGGAGCGCUGAUUAGUGAGAAUGCAGACACGAGUAGCGAUAAANNUAAGGCGUAAUCGAUGCACAGCAGGUUAAAUAUUCCUGCGCCCGCCGGGAUUAAGGCUGCGAAUGACGCAUGGGAAGACAUCAACUAGGCAAUCGAAUGCUGAGCUUAGGCUUCGGCCAAAGCGUAUUGGUGGGUUCCUGUGCCUAGAAAAGUUUGCAGUCGUUUCCCCGACGGCCCGUACCGUAAACCGACACAGGUGGGUGAGUGUAAGCGCACUCAGGCGCGCGAGAGAAACCUCUCUAAGGAACUCGGCACAUUAGCCUCGUAACUUCGGGAAAAGAGGUGCCUGAAACCGUAGCAGCAAUGUUGCGGCGUAAGGUUUCAAUAAAUUGCGUUUAGCGACUGUUUAACAAAAACACAGCUCUCUGCAAAGUCGUGAAGACGACGUAUAGGGAGUGACAAGUGACCAAUGCGGAAAGAUUAAGAGAUUUUGUUAGCCGCAAGGCGAAGCUCGGUCUUUAAGUCCCCGUGAAUGUCGGCCGUAACUAUAACGGUCCUAAGGUAGCGAAAUUCCUUGUCGGGUAAGUUCCGACCUGCACGAAUCUUGUAACGACUGAACGACUGUCUCGGAGAGGAUCUCGGCGAAACUGUAACGGCGGUGAAGAUGCCGCCUGCCCGCAGUAGGACGGAAAGACCCUAUGCACCUUUACUGUAAGCUCGUAUUGUGUUCUGGUUGGCGAUGCGUAGCGUAGGUGGGAGACUUUGAAGCGGGGGCCUCGGUUCCCGUGGAGUCGCAAUGUGAAACACCACUCUUUGCUAAUUAGGAUUCUAACCUCAUGCUGUAAGCCAGCUGGGGGACAGUGCGUGCGGGUCAGUUUGACUGGGGCGGUUUCCUCCCAAAGAGUAACGGAGGAGCGCGAAGCUUGGCUCAGCACGGUUGGCAACCGUGCGUUGAGGGUAUGGCUAGAAGCCAGGUUAACUGUGAGACCUACAAGNNAAUGUGGAAUUGCCGUCGCUCAACGGACAAAAGGUACGCUAGGGAUAACAGGCUGAUCGGGUCCAAGAGUUCACAUCGACGACCCGGUUUGGCACCUCGAUGUCGGCUCAUCGCAUCCUGGGGCUGGAGAAGGUCCCAAGGGUCCGGCUGUUCGCCGGUUAAAGCGGUACGCGAGCUGGGUUCAGAACGUCGUGAGACAGUUCGGUCCUUAUCCACUGUGGGCGCAGGANNUGCGUAGCCAUGUGCGGAAGAGAUAAGCGCUGAAAGCAUCUAAGUGCCAAGCUCAUCCCAAGAUAAUGUCUCCCGGGGCGCAAGCUCCCUAAAGACCACGGGCAGACCACCCGUUUGAUAGGCCAGAGGUGUAAGCGUCGUAAGGCGUUUAGCCGACUGGUACUAAUCGGUCGUGCGGCUUGAUUGC